rnacentral:tRNA from 1 species
ACGUUACUAGUAUAUUUAUUAUACUACUUUUCCAAAGUAGUGAUCUACUAGAGUGUAGGUAUCGUA